UUUGUUUCUUUUUCGGAAUUA
rnacentral:piRNA from 1 species